GGUGUUUGUAAACAAACUAAUAUAUUGAGUUUUGGUUAAGAUUCAACUUGUGAGGAUACAAUUGAGAGUUCCGGAAUAUGGAUGGACGACGCAAAAGGUCUUUCACUUUCUUAAUUUCGUUGUUAAUGGAGUUCGUGCUGUGGUGUUUGUCUUCAGGAGAAAUGUGCAGUUCUUGCAUCCAGAGAUUAUGCAACAUAUCUUGCUUGAUAUUCCAAGU